rnacentral:rRNA from 1 species
ACGGAAGGCAGCAGUGGGGAAUAUUGCACAAUGGGCGAAAGCCUGAUGCAGCGACGCCGCGUGAGCGAAGAAGUAUUUCGGUAUGUAAAGCUCUAUCAGCAGGGAAGAUAAUGACGGUACCUGACUAAGAAGCACCGGCUAAAUACGUGCCAGCAGCCGCGGUAAUACGUAUGGUGCAAGCGUUAUCCGGAUUUACUGGGUGUAAAGGGAGCGUAGACGGCUUUGCAAGUCUGAAGUGAAAGCCCGGGGCUCAACCCCGGAACUGCUUUGGAAACUGUAGAGCUAGAGUGCAGGAGAGGUAAGUGGAAUUCCUAGUGUAGCGGUGAAAUGCGUAGAUAUUAGGAGGAACACCAGUGGCGAAGGCGGCUUACUGGACGAUAACUGACGUUGAGGCUCGAAAGCGUGGGGAGCAAACAGGAUUAGAUACCCUGGUA